rnacentral:misc_RNA from 1 species
UCCGGUUUAUCACCGGCAGUCUCCACAGAGUCCUCGGCUUUACCCGUUAGUAACUGUGAACAAGGGUUGCGCUCGUUGCGGGACUUAACCCAACACCUCACGGCACGAGCUGACGACAGCCAUGCAGCACCUGUGCCGGCUCCCGAAGGAGCACCGUGUUUCCACGGUUUCACCCGGCAUGUCAAGCCCUGGUAAGGUUCUUCGCGUUGCGUCGAAUUAAGCCACAUGCUCCGCCGCUUGUGCGAGCCCCCGUCAAUUCCUUUGAGUUUUAGCCUUGCGGCCGUACUCCCCAGGCGGGGUGCUUAAUGCGUUAGCUGCGGCACAAAAAAAAUUGAUGCUCCCCACACCUAGCACCCAACGUUUACGGCUGGGACUAC